UUGAACAACAAUUCCUUCAAAAUUCAGAACAGAGUUUACAUAGACGAAGAGCAAUUGAUCGGAGCUACCCUCUAUGAAACUAUCAACAUUUGUUUUCAAUUACUUACCAACAAUAAUUGCAUGACGAAGUUUACCAAGAGUUCAUAAUUGAAAUAGUCAAAUAAAUUAGCGCUUUCAUUAAAAAAAUAAACAAUUCAAUUAUAUUAGAACGCAGUUAAGUUUCUUAUUAUUAAAUCACGCCAAAUGAGAGUAUUGCGAUUUCGUCGAAAAUUGAAACUAAUUUGUUAUCGAUUUAUUUUUUACCCAUUUUUCUUGUUAUUCCUAGUAGUGUUAAUAGUGCUUCUGGGGCUUUUACUGACUACUUCUUACUAUGAAAACUGGUUUAAUUUGUAUUUAUUUGAUUACGGUACCGAUGAAACUUUUACCUCCGAAAAUAUUUUAGAUACAUUGCCUCCUUUUUUGCAUCCAUUGUACACGUUUUAUCUUGACAAGUUUCCGACUAAAAUUGAUUUGGAACAAAAAGGAGAAAUUUCUGUUCACAUUGUGCCUUUUUCUCACACCGAUCCAGGCUGGCGUUUCGAUACUGAAGAUUACUUUAAAAUUUCAGUGAGAGGAAUUCUCAAUACAGUCGUUGACGCUUUGACUGAUGAAAAAGAUGCUCGAUUUGUCUGGACUGAGGUUAUUUUUCUCAGAAUGUGGGUUAAAAGAGCGACCCAAACUUACAAAGAUAAACUCUUAGCCGUUAUUUCCGAAGGCAGGUUCGAGGUUGCAUAUCCCGGUUACGUAAUGCAAGAUGAGGGACUUCCUAACAUACAUCAAACGACCUUGAACUUUCUUAAUGGAGUUACGUGGCUUCAAAAUAACCUCAACAUUUCGGUCAAAUCCGCUUUCACCGCUGAUCCGUUUGGAGUGUCAGCUAGUUGUGCUUACAUGCACUCUCUGUUUAACGUCUCGAAUUUAUUGGUCCAAAGAGUGAACUACAGAACAAAAGAGCUUUUGGGUUCCACACAAGACUUGGAGUUUUUCUGGGACACUGGUCAUGAA